AUGAGCCACUUCAGGCCUAUCAGCCUCAUACACUCCGUGUCAAAGCUGAUAGCUAAGGUUCUAUCUAUGCGGCUGGCCCCAAAACUCAAGGACCUCAUCUCACCGACGCAAUCUGCUUUCCAAAAGGGCAAGUGCAUCCAUGAUAGCUAUCAGUAUGUGCAGGGCUGUGUUAGAGCGCUUCACAGGGACAGGAAAUCGGCCCUUCUUUUCAAAUUGGACAUUGCCAAGGCCUUCGAUUCAGUGUCGUGGGAAUACCUACUGGAACUGCUUCAGAGAAUGGGUUUUUUAGCCCACGAUGGAGGGACUUGA
rnacentral:rRNA from 1 species